rnacentral:rRNA from 1 species
UACGAAGGGGGCUAGCGUUGCUCGGAUUACUGGGCGUAAAGGCGCGUAGGCGGUUUGUACAGUCAGACGUGAAAUUCCUGGCUCAACCUGGGGCUGCGUUUGAUACGUGCGAGCUUGAGUUCGGAAGAGGGUCGUGGAAUUCCCAGUGUAGAGGUGAAAUUCGUAGAUAUUGGGAAGAACACCGGUGGCGAAGGCGGCGACCUGGUCCGAUACUGACGCUGAGGCGCGAAAGCGUGGGGAGCGAACAGG